UGAGGUGGAUAAAGCCUUUGAUGAACUAGACGGCCAAGAGACUAAGGAAGGAGCUACCAUCCCGGUUUGAUUGCGUUCAUCCUGGACUAACUAUACAACAGUUUCAUGCCUUUAUUUCUCCACAAGGGGGCAACAACUACAUGUUAUGCCUGGGCUCAACCAUAUCAGCUGAAGG